GAUGAACGCUGGCGGCGUGCCUAAUACAUGCAAGUCGAGCGAAAGGACGCGAAGCUUGUUGCUCUGACGUUAGGGGCGGAGGGGAGAGACACACGUGGAUAAUCUACCUAUAAGACUGGGAUCAUUACGGGAAACCGUAGAUAACACCGGAUAAUAUCUUGCACCGCGUGGUUGAAAAGAGAAAGACGGUGUUUCUGUAUCUAAUAGCUGGUUACGAGCUGGAUUAGCUAGUUGGUAAGGUAAAGGCCUACCAAGGCUACGAUGCAUAGCCGAGCUGAGAGGGUGAUCGGCCACACUGGAACUGAGACGCGGUCCUGAGUCCUACGGGAGGCAGCAGUAGCGAAUGGGCCGCAGUAGGCGGAAGCCUGACGGAACAGCGCCGAGUGAGUGAUGGAAGUCUUCCGUGCGUAAUGCUCUGUUAUUAGGUGAGAACAGAUGUGGAAGGAACUGUGCACAUCGUGACGGUACCUAGUCAGAAAGCCACGGCUAACUACGUG
rnacentral:rRNA from 1 species